UACGUAGGGCGCAAGCGUUAUCCGGAAUUAUUGGGCGUAAAGAGCUCGUAGGCGGUUUGUCGCGUCUGCCGUGAAAAUCCGGGGCUCAACCUCGGGUCUGCAGUCGAUACGGGCAAACUAGAGUAUUGCAGGGGAGACUGGAAUACUUGGUGUAGCAGUGAAAUGCGUAGAUAUCAAGUGGAACACCAGUGGCGAAGGCGAGUCCCUGGACAUUUCCUGACACUGAGGCACGAAAGCUAGGGGAGCAAACAGG
rnacentral:rRNA from 1 species